rnacentral:ncRNA from 1 species
GGAGGAAGGUGAGGAUGACGUCAAGUCAUCAUGCCCCUUACGCCCUUGGCGACACACGUGCUACAAUGACCGGGAUAAAGGGUCGCGACCCUAUGAGAGCAAGCUAACCUCAAAAACCCAGCCUCAGUUCUGAUUGCAGGUUGCAACUCACCUGCAUGAAGCUAGAAUCACUAGUAAUCGUCGGUCAGCCAUACGAUGGUGAAUAUGUUCCUGGGCCUUGUACACAUCGCUCGUCACACUAUGGGAGUUGGCCAUGCCCCAAGUCGUUACCUUAACCGCAGGGAGGGGGAUAUAAAAGUUAAUUGUCUUAAAAUAAAUUUAUUUUAAUUCAAGAGUUAUUAAAUACUUA